GUUGAUGAUAGCAUCAUUAAUAGAAAACUGAUUGAAUGAUUGCUCAAAACCUCAUCUUUUCAAGUUACAACUGUGGAUUUUGGAAGUAAAGCUUUAGAAAUUCUUGAGGAUUACAUGAAGACAUGAACUCUAAUCAACCCUCUGUGUCUCCAAAUAUUAACCAGGAAGUUGAAGUGAAUCUAAUAAUCAUAGAUUAUUCUAUGUCUGGAAUGACAGGCUAUGAUUUGCUC